ACGUAGGGACCAAGCGUUGUUCGGAUUUACUGGGCGUAAAGGGCGCGUAGGCGGCAAUUCAAGUCAUCUGUGAAAUCUUCGGGCUUAACUCGGAACUGCCAAGUGAUACUGCUGUGCUAGAGUGCAGAAAGGGCAAUCGGAAUUCUUGGUGUAGCGGUGAAAUGCGUAGAUAUCAAGAGGAACACCUGAGGCGAAGGCGGGUUGCUAGGCUGACACUGACGCUGAUGCGCGAAAGCCAGGGGAGCAAACGGGA
rnacentral:rRNA from 1 species